rnacentral:lncRNA from 1 species
GUUCAGGCAAUGCACUAUCACACUAACAACAUUCAAUCAACAUACAUUUUAUAACAACUUAACCAACUUCUUCACUAAUAGUCCUAACAUAACUAACCAAUCAAACUGACUAACAUCUAAUUCUGACUAAUUAAGUUUCAGUACCUCAAUUCACUGAUAUUCCAUUAACAAUCCAACGCUAGCUCAUUCAUUCUUUCUAACACAAUUAACCAAGUUCAUUCUCAUUUAACAACUUAGCAUCACUAACUAUCACUCAAUCUAACUAACACCUAAUUCUGACUAUAGCUAACUGAUUUUCCCUAACUCAAUUCACUAACUAACUUCAAUUCAGUUCACUACUGGUUCACAACUCUAAUUCACUAGUGGUCACAUUUCAAUUCAUUAACAAUUAACUAACAGAGUUAACAUUUUAACUAACUUACUCUUGAAAUCAACUAACACUAACACCUGCCCUAACCCAUAUCUGAAUUUCCCUAACCUCUGCCCUAAAUAAUUACAACUUUCCACUCCAAUUCAUUUAUAUAAUCUACAUCACCAUCUUCAAUCAAUCUUUAGCCAUUUCAUUCAGCAAAUGGAAACUCUAAAUAACUGAGCUUAGCUUCUCUACAUCUCUACUCCCUAAUCAACAAUAACAAUAACAACUAAACAAAAAUACCUACUGACUACUAGAAGAAGAAUAAGAAGGAAGAACAAUAACAAGGAGCAAGAGUUUUGAAUAACAUCUUUGGAUUUCUCUCUUCUUUCGCAUCAGCAUCUUCAUCUUCAGCAACUACCAAGGCAAGUCACGACCUUUUAGGUAGGUCACCCACCACUUAUCUUUUUUGCUUCAAGGUUGUUACCAUCAUUUAGAGGACACUGAGGGGAAUCAAAGCCUCAAAGUCUUUUGCUUUGAUCCUCCUCAGUUUGCAUUUAAUUUAUGUUUAGGUUUUUAGGGUUCUUGCGCGUUUUUUGGUGGUUUGAGGAAUUCUUUGAGAAUCAAGUGAAAGGGAGGUACGAAGUGGAAAGACGAGGUGGAUAGGGUUUCGUUUGUGGUACUUUGGAGUGAUUUUAGGUUGCUCCGACGCCUCCGGAACGGUGGAUCAAUUUUCGGUGGGAGGAGGGAGUUAAAGAGAGGGAGAAGGGAUUGGACGUUUGAAACAAAAGGAAAGGGAUCU